UAUUUUGAGGAUUUGAUCAUGGUCCAGGAUGAACGCUGGCGGUGUGGAUAAGGCAUGCAAGUCGUGCGGACGCAAUUGCCAACUUCUAAUUCCUAACUCAUAAUAGAAAAAUAUGAGUCAGAAAUUUAGAGAGUUUAAAGUCUAUACAGAUGCGAAAUCUUUAGUGGUUAUGGUAUUUCGGCUUACGAGAAAAUUCCCAAAGGAAUUUUAUUAUCUGUCUGACCAAAUGAAUCGUUGUUGUUUGUCAAUCGUAUUGAACCUUGCAGAAGGUUCAGCAAAAAAGAGCAACAAAGAUUUUAAUAGGUAUAUACAGCAUGCUCUCGGUUCAACAAGCGAAUUAUCAGCCGCGCUAGAAAUCGCAAAAGAUUUUAAUCUCGUUGAUGACGUUGAAUUUAAAAUAACAGAAGAUUUGCUUGACGAGGUUACAAAACAGUUAGGCGGGUUUUCUAAGUUUCUAAACAAAAAUUCAUAGUUGGAAAUUAGAGGUUGGUAGUUGCGUUAGCGGCGAACGAGUUAGUAAUACCCUAGUACAUACCUCGAAGAGGGAAAUAACUGGUCGAAAGAUCGGCUAAUGUCCCAUAGUCCCGCAAGGGUAAAGUCGCAAGACGCUUCGAGAUUGGCUUCGGUCCUAUCAGCUAGUUGGUGAGGUAAUGGCUCACCAAGGCUACGACGGGUAGGGGGGCUGAGAGGCUGUUCCCCAACGACGAGACUGAGACACGGCUCGUACACCUACGGGUGGCAGCAGUCAAGAACAUUCGACAAUGGACGAAAGUCUGAUCGAGCGACACCGCGUGCAGGAUGAAGGGCUUCGGUCUGUAAACUGCUUUUCUCUCCGAGAAAGCCGCAAGGUUGAUGGUAGGAGAGGAAUAAGAAGCGGCUAACUUCGUGCCAGCAGCAGCGGUAAUACGAAGGCUUCAAGCGUUAUCCGGAUUUAUUGGGCGUAAAGCGUGCGUAGGAGGUGUGAUGCGUCUUGUUUUAAAUGUCCGGGCUUAACCUGGUCGCUGGACAAGAUACGGUCACACUAGAGGAUGCUAGAGGUAAGCGGAACACACGGUGUAGGGGUGAAAUCCGUUGAUAUCGUGUGGAACACCGAAGGCGAAGGCAGCUUACUGGGGCACUCCUGACUCUCAGUGCACGAAAGCGUGGGGAGCAAAAAGGAUUANNNNNNNNNNNNNNNNNNNNNNNNNNNNNNNNNNNNNNNNNNNNNNNNNNNNNNNNNNNNNNNNUCUGGAAAUAUUGGCUGCGAAUACGAGCAAGUCAAUCCCUCCAUGGGUAUGGAGGAGAUAGUUCCUUUAGUAAUUUCUUCGACAUUGUGAGGAGAUCUUUGAAAUUUCAAAGAAAUCCCAGAAGCCCAUCGCAGGGGAAACUGCGCGAAGGUUAAUUGACCGGUCAGCGACCUUCCUGGGUUGAAAGCGUUUUACGCUUCAGACUCUGAAGCCGUUGUUCGAACGGCCGUUCUGGGAUUUCUAAGAGGAACAAAACUUGCUUUGCUUGUUUUGUUCUUCCUCACAGUGUCGAAGAUAGAUAUUACUAAAGAUAACUCGACUAUAUGCUGGAAAAUCCGGUGUAUCCAACAAUACCGAAAGGUAAAAAUUUGUUGGUGCGGACAAUCAGCAGGGAAGGUUCGCAAAAAGAUUUGCGAAAACCCUCAGAGACUAUACGUCGGGAAAUCGGAAGACAGAAAACGGUUUGUCAGAAGACGGAGAAUAUAAACGUUCCGAUUCUCUGAUUCUCCGAAUUCUCUGUCCUCUGAUUUAAGAUAUAGUCCGAACUGCAUGGCGACAUGCAGAGGCAAGCAGAAAUACCUUGCCCAGCAACAGAGUUUUGAAUUUAUUGGAUUCGAAUUUGUUUAAAAAUUAGAAAUUCGGAUUUAGAAAUUCAAUUUUGUUGCAAGCAACAAAAUUGUAGAUACCCUUGUAGUCCACGCCCUAAACGAUGCACACUAGCUGUUUCGAGUAUCGACCCUCGGAGUGGCGUAGCUAACGCGUUAAGUGUGCCGCCUGGGAAGUACGGCCGCAAGGCUAAAACUCAAAUGAAUAGACGGGGACUCGCACAAGCGGUGGAACAUGAGGUUUAAUUCGACGGUAAACGAAGAACCUUACCAGGGCUUGAAAUGCUCUUGAAGGAUUCCGGAAACGGGAUUCGUCGUAGUGCAAAUUACGACAAGAGCACAGGUGUUGCAUGGUUAUUUGAAUCGGAUGACAGAAGACGGAGAAUCAGAAGACGGAGAGUAGUUUCUUCAAUUUCUCUAUCCUCUGCAUGCCGAUAUGACCCUUUCAUGAGUAAUCAUGAUCGAAAACUAGCUCAUAAUGGAGAAACCUUAUAUACUUCCACUUAAUGAUAAAAGAUGUUGAAGAUUUAGAUGUCUAUAACCGCUCUCUUCGGUUGUUAAAACCGUUAGGGGAUUUCGUAGGCAUGAUCCCGAAAGAUGAAUAUCAUAUUCGGCAUCAGAUAAUGUCUGCUGCCCAUGGUAUUCCAGCGCAAAUCGCUGAGGGGUUUGCAAAACGAAGGUCAGUAAAAGAAUGCAAACGUUUUUGGGAAAUGGCGCUUGGUUCAAGUGACGAAGUCAUUACUCAUAUUCGUUCAGUGAUAGUUAGGGCAUUUAAGAACAUAUCCGAUGAUGAUGCGAAAAGCAUAAUCGCGGAGUAUAAGAUCGUAUCUAAGCAACUCAAUAAUCUAAUCAAAAAGUGGAGAGGUAAAGAGGCAAUUCCAUGGGAAGUUCGACCUUAGUCGGACCCCUUAGAGACUAAGUUCGAGAGAACUUGAUGGUAGUCUUUGAAUUACCAUAAUACGCUAGGAUCCAGAAUUUCUGGAUUAUGGAAUAGUCCGAUCCUCCAAGUGAUUGGAGCAGUAAGAAGCGGGACGUUUUCGGUUCUGAGACACCGAUACACUGUCCUCUGUCUUCUGAAUUAUGGUCGUCAGCUCGUAUCGUGAGACGUUCCCUUAAGUGGGGUAACGAGCGCAACCCCCAUCCAAUGUUUUAUAUGUCAUUGGAAACUGCCCCGCCCUUUUGGCAGUAUAGGAUAGUGCCAAAAGGGCGGGGAGGAAGGUGGGGAUGACGUCAAAUCCGCAUGGCCCUCUGAUGCCCUGGGCUACACUCGUGUUACAAUGGCCGACACAAAAGGCCGCGAAGCCGUAAGGCGGAGCCAACCCUAGAAAAUCGGCCUCAGUUCAGAUUGAGGGCUGCAACUCGCCCUCAUGAAGAUGGAAUCGCUAGUAAUCGUGGGUCAGCUAUACCACGGUGAAUACGUUCUCGAGUCCUGUACUCACCGCCCGUCAAGCCAAGGGAGCCGGUAAUACCCGAAGUUCCACGUUUCGUGGGCCCACGGUAAGAUCGGUGACAAGGGCUAAGUCGUCGAUGUUACGAAAUAACAACUGCGAC
rnacentral:rRNA from 1 species